UACGUAGGGUGCGAGCGUUAAUCGGAAUUACUGGGCGUAAAGCGUGCGCAGGCGGUUUUAUAAGCCAGAUGUGAAAUCCCCGGGCUCAACCUGGGAACUGCAUUUGGAACUGUAAGACUAGAGUAUAGCAGAGGGGGGUAGAAUUCCACGUGUAGCAGUGAAAUGCGUAGAUAUGUGGAGGAAUACCAAUGGCGAAGGCAGCCCCCUGGGUUAAUACUGACGCUCAUGCACGAAAGCGUGGGGAGCAAACAGG
rnacentral:rRNA from 1 species